GGGUUGUGAGGUUAAGCGACUAAGCGUACACGGUGGAUGCCCUGGCAGUCAGAGGCGAUGAAGGGCGUGCUAAUCUGCGAUAAGCGCCGGUAAGGUGAUAUGAACCGUUAUAACCGGCGAUACCCGAAUGGGGAAACCCAGUGUGACUCGUCACACUAUCAUUAACUGAAUCCAUAGGUUAAUGAGGCGAACCGGGGGAACUGAAACAUCUAAGUACCCCGAGGAAAAGAAAUCAACCGAGAUUCCCCCAGUAGCGGCGAGCGAACGGGGAGGAGCCCAGAGCCUGAAUCAGCAUGUGUGUUAGUGGAAGCGUCUGGAAAGGCGCGCGAUACAGGGUGACAGCCCCGUACACAAAAGCGCAUGUGCUGUGAGCUCGAUGAGUAGGGCGGGACACGUGGUAUCCUGUCUGAAUAUGGGGGGACCAUCCUCCAAGGCUAAAUACUCCUGACUGACCGAUAGUGAACCAGUACCGUGAGGGAAAGGCGAAAAGAACCCCGGCGAGGGGAGUGAAAAAGAACCUGAAACCGUGUACGUACAAGCAGUGGGAGCACAGGUUUACCUGUGUGACUGCGUACCUUUUGUAUAAUGGGUCAGCGACUUAUAUUCUGUAGCAAGGUUAACCGUAUAGGGGAGCCGGAGGGAAACCGAGUCUUAAUUGGGCGUUAAGUUGCAGGGUAUAGACCCGAAACCCGGUGAUCUAGCCAUGGGCAGGUUGAAGGUUGGGUAACACUAACUGGAGGACCGAACCGACUAAUGUUGAAAAAUUAGCGGAUGACCUGUGGCUGGGGGUGAAAGGCCAAUCAAACCGGGAGAUAGCUGGUUCUCCCCGAAAGCUAUUUAGGUAGCGCCUCGUGAAUUCAUCUCCGGGGGUAGAGCACUGUUUCGGCUAGGGGGCCAUCCCGGCUUACCAACCCGAUGCAAACUGCGAAUACCGGAGAAUGUUAUCACGGGAGACACACGGCGGGUGCUAACGUCCGUCGUGAAGAGGGAAACAACCCAGACCGCCAGCUAAGGUCCCAAAGUCAUGGUUAAGUGGGAAACGAUGUGGGAAGGCCCAGACAGCCAGGAUGUUGGCUUAGAAGCAGCCAUCAUUUAAAGAAAGCGUAAUAGCUCACUGGUCGAGUCGGCCUGCGCGGAAGAUGUAACGGGGCUAAACCAUGCACCGAAGCUGCGGCAGCGACACUGUGUGUUGUUGGGUAGGGGAGCGUUCUGUAAGCCUGCGAAGGUGGCCUGUGAGGGUUGCUGGAGGUAUCAGAAGUGCGAAUGCUGACAUAAGUAACGAUAAAGCGGGUGAAAAGCCCGCUCGCCGGAAGACCAAGGGUUCCUGUCCAACGUUAAUCGGGGCAGGGUGAGUCGACCCCUAAGGCGAGGCCGAAAGGCGUAGUCGAUGGGAAACAGGUUAAUAUUCCUGUACUUGGUGUUACUGCGAAGGGGGGACGGAGAAGGCUAUGUUGGCCGGGCGACGGUUGUCCCGGUUUAAGCGUGUAGGUGUGUGUUCCAGGUAAAUCCGGUUCACUUUAACACUGAGGCGUGAUGACGAGGCACUACGGUGCUGAAGCAACAAAUGCCCUGCUUCCAGGAAAAGCCUCUAAGCAUCAGGUAACAUCAAAUCGUACCCCAAACCGACACAGGUGGUCAGGUAGAGAAUACCAAGGCGCUUGAGAGAACUCGGGUGAAGGAACUAGGCAAAAUGGUGCCGUAACUUCGGGAGAAGGCACGCUGACACGUAGGUGAAGUGAUUUACUCAUGGAGCUGAAGUCAGUCGAAGAUACCAGCUGGCUGCAACUGUUUAUUAAAAACACAGCACUGUGCAAACACGAAAGUGGACGUAUACGGUGUGACGCCUGCCCGGUGCCGGAAGGUUAAUUGAUGGGGUCAGCGCAAGCGAAGCUCCUGAUCGAAGCCCCGGUAAACGGCGGCCGUAACUAUAACGGUCCUAAGGUAGCGAAAUUCCUUGUCGGGUAAGUUCCGACCUGCACGAAUGGCGUAAUGAUGGCCAGGCUGUCUCCACCCGAGACUCAGUGAAAUUGAACUCGCUGUGAAGAUGCAGUGUACCCGCGGCAAGACGGAAAGACCCCGUGAACCUUUACUAUAGCUUGACACUGAACAUUGAGCCUUGAUGUGUAGGAUAGGUGGGAGGCUUUGAAGCGUGGACGCCAGUCUGCGUGGAGCCGACCUUGAAAUACCACCCUUUAAUGUUUGAUGUUCUAACGUGGACCCGUAAUCCGGGUUGCGGACAGUGUCUGGUGGGUAGUUUGACUGGGGCGGUCUCCUCCUAAAGAGUAACGGAGGAGCACGAAGGUUGGCUAAUCCUGGUCGGACAUCAGGAGGUUAGUGCAAUGGCAUAAGCCAGCUUGACUGCGAGCGUGACGGCGCGAGCAGGUGCGAAAGCAGGUCAUAGUGAUCCGGUGGUUCUGAAUGGAAGGGCCAUCGCUCAACGGAUAAAAGGUACUCCGGGGAUAACAGGCUGAUACCGCCCAAGAGUUCAUAUCGACGGCGGUGUUUGGCACCUCGAUGUCGGCUCAUCACAUCCUGGGGCUGAAGUAGGUCCCAAGGGUAUGGCUGUUCGCCAUUUAAAGUGGUACGCGAGCUGGGUUUAGAACGUCGUGAGACAGUUCGGUCCCUAUCUGCCGUGGGCGCUGGAGAACUGAGGGGGGCUGCUCCUAGUACGAGAGGACCGGAGUGGACGCAUCACUGGUGUUCGGGUUGUCAUGCCAAUGGCACUGCCCGGUAGCUAAAUGCGGAAGAGAUAAGUGCUGAAAGCAUCUAAGCACGAAACUUGCCCCGAGAUGAGUUCUCCCUGAGACUUAGAGUCUCCUGAAGGAACGUUGAAGACGACGACGUUGAUAGGCCGGGUGUGUAAGCGCAGCGAUGCGUUGAGCUAACCGGUACUAAUGAACCGUGAGGCUUAACCUUACAACGCCGAAG
rnacentral:rRNA from 1 species